GAUGAACGCUAGCGACAGGCCUAACACAUGCAAGUCGAGGGGCAGCACAUGAGUAGCAAUACGAUGGUGGCGACUGGCGCACGGGUGAGUAACACGUAUGCAACCUGCCUUCUACUAUGGGAUAACCCGUUGAAAGACGGACUAAUACCGUAUAAUACAGGGGCUCCGCAUGGAGAUAUUUGUUAAAGAUUUAUUGGUAGAAGAUGGGCAUGCGUAUGAUUAGAUAGUUGGUGAGGUAACGGCUCACCAAGUCAACGAUCAUUAGGGGUUCUGAGAGGAAGGUACCCCACACUGGUACUGAGACACGGACCAGACUCCUACGGGAGGCAGCAGUGAGGAAUAUUGGUCAAUGGACGAGAGUCUGAACCAGCCAAGUCGCGUGAAGGAAGACGGUUCUAUGAAUUGUAAACUUCUUUUGUGCAGGAAUAAAGUGGGUUACGUGUAACCUUUUGUAUGUACUGUACGAAUGAGGAUCGGCUAACUCCGUGCCAGCAGCCGCAGUAAUAC
rnacentral:rRNA from 1 species